rnacentral:rRNA from 1 species
CCUACGGGUGGUAGCAGUAAGGAAUAUUGGACAAUGGGCGAAAGCCUGAUCCAGCCAUCCCGCGUGGAGGAUGACUGCCCUACGGGUUGUAAACUCCUUUUAAUCAGGACGAAACCCCAAGAUUUAUCUUGGGCUGACGGUACUUUUUGAAUAAGCACCGGCUAAUUCCGUGCCAGCAGCCGCGGUAAUACGGAAGGUGCAAGCGUUAUCCGGAAUCACUGGGUUUAAAGGGUGCGUAGGCGGCGUAAUAAGUCAGAGGUGAAAGCUCACAGCUUAACUGUGGAACUGCCUUUGAUACUGUUAUGCUUGAAUUAGGUUGAGGUUGGCGGAAUGUGACAUGUAGCGGUGAAAUGCAUAGAUAUGUCAUAGAACAUCGAUUGCGAAGGCAGCUGGCUAGACCUUAAUUGACGCUGAGGCACGAAAGCGUGGGGAGCGAACAG